rnacentral:lncRNA from 1 species
UGCACUUGGAGAUGAUCAUACUGAGUGAGCAAAGUCAGACAGAGGAGGACAAACAUAUGAUACCACAACUUUAGGUCAUUUCCGCGUCUUGGUUAUUGCGAAUAGAGCUGCAAUGAAUAUCUCCUUGUAGUUCUGAUUUGCAUUUCCCAAAUGAUUGGCAAUGUUGAGCACCUUUUCAUGUACCUGUUGGCUGUCUUGGAGACCCAAUUUUAAAGGGGCACAGGGCAUCUUCCAACCAACUCUUGGGCACCCAUGACAUUGGGACAGAGCCUGCUGGGGGUCAGCCCUGAUGGAAAUAAAUGAGAUGCCCCAGAGGACGCCAGCUCCACCUCAUGGGACUUCAGUUUCCAGGGAUUUUGCUUCUCCAAAACCAUGACACGGGGUCACAAAGUCCUAUGGCCAUGGCCACACGUUGUCCUUACCCCAUGCUUAGGUGGUCAAGGUAAGCAGAAACUUUGGAGGGUUGCAGUGGCUUCCUUCCAACCCCCCUCACAGGCGUCCAUCCUGCCUGUCGACACAGUUCUCCACCAGACCCCCGACCCCUCCCAGCUCUGAGCCUGACCCUCGUGUCCUGCAGCCGUUCACUGCCCGGAAGAUUAAGGACGUGGUUGCCUGACGUUCCUGGGGAAGGAGGGACAGGGGACAAUCCUGCAUUUCUCCCUGGUGGCCAGCCUGUCACCUCAGGAAACCAGAAGGCAGAGGGCUCUGCCUCUUGAUGGAAACCCAACUUCUAGACGUUAUUGCCUUUCUCAAGCGCUGUUCUAUCCGAUAAACACGUAAUUUUCAAUACUGUCAACAUCUUUUUAAAAAGUUAAUUUUACUUGGAAGCAGGUUCAUAGACAUGCAAUUCACACUCAGCCCUCCUGCCUCACUGAAAUGUUACAUUCAGUGGCUUUUAAAAAUUAGAUUAACUCAAUGCUUUUAAACAAUUUUCUUUUUAGAAUUUUAAAAUUUUUAUUGUGUUGUCUUUUUAGGGCUGCACUGUGGCAUAUGGAGGUUCACAGACUAGGGUCGCAUUGGAGCUGCNAGCCCUCCUGCCUCACUGAAAUGUUACAUUCAGUGGCUU